rnacentral:lncRNA from 1 species
UUCCUAUCCUCUAAUCCCAAAUUUGCUCCUCCCAAAUUUAAACCCAGGUGAGUAAUUCCAACUCUGUUCCUCCCAUAGUUCAGGCCAAAACAUUGCCAAUAUUAUGGACUUUUGCCUCUAAUAUACAGGGUUCAAAUAUAUCUUGUUUGCAUAGAACAAUUUCAAUUUAUAAUUUACAUAGUUUAUAGUUUACAACAGCUUCAGGAAUAGUUUACACGAUAGUUUCCUCACUAAUUUCCCUGUUUUCUCUUUUGCUAUGCUAUGGUCUAUUUUCACAGAUCAGUCAAACUGUUACUGCUAAUUCUUUAAAGAGGCGAUUGCUUUUCUGUUUAAAAUCCUUCAUGGCUGCCAAUUAAAUAAACAAAAGUUCUUACCAUUUUCUAAGAAGCUUUAUGUGACCAUCUCCCCAUGGAGUGUGAUCUCAUCUCCUCUGCUGUAUCACAUUGGCAUCCUUAGUGGAACCUCACGGGAUGCAAAAUUUUUCCAAGGGAUGUGCAUCUGCAGACAGUUUUAAGGGACUAUUGUCAAGAACUGUGAAGGAUCUGAGCUUACAAGUUAGCCUGCUUCAGUUUUAUGGAUGCUGGCAGAAGACACAUAACUCUUUGGUCAGAGACAGAAAGACUUCCAUUAUUUGCAGCACAGCACAGAGUUGCACGAGCUUCAUCUUUGCUCUGGUUCCUGUUUUCCCUCAAGUUUACUGGAGAUGAUGACAAGGAGUUCAAGUUGAUGCUACACACAGUUUGUGUCACAGAUGAAGAACUCCAAGUAAAGGAAACUUAAAUCUUUAAUAAAUGAGCAGUAAGCACACUUGUC